AUUGAACGCUGGCGGCAUGCUCUACACAUGCAAGUCGAACGGUAACAGGCCGCAAGGUGCUGACGAGUGGCGAACGGGUGAGUAAUGCAUCGGAACGUGCCCAGUCGUGGGGGAUAACUACUCGAAAGAGUAGCUAAUACCGCAUACGAUCUAUGGAUGAAAGCGGGGGACCGUAAGGCCUCGCGCGAUUGGAGCGGCCGAUGUCAGAUUAGGUAGUUGGUGGGGUAAAGGCUCACCAAGCCAACGAUCUGUAGCUGGUCUGAGAGGACGACCAGCCACACUGGGGCUGAGACACGGCCCAGACUCCUACGGGAGGCAGCAGUGGGGAAUUUUGGACAAUGGGCGCAAGCCUGAUCCAGCAAUGCCGCGUGCAGGAAGAAGGCCUUCGGGUUGUAAACUGCUUUUGUACGGAACGAAACGGCUCUGGUUAAUACCCGGGGCUAAUGACGGUACCGUAAGAAUAAGCACCGGCUAACUACGUG
rnacentral:rRNA from 1 species